GUUCGUAGUGACCUGCGGAGGAUCAUUACCGAAUUGUCAAACGGGUUGUUGCUGGUCUUCAAACGGGGACAUGUGCACGCUCUGUUUACACAUCCACUCACACCUGUGCACCCUCCGUAGUUCUAUGGUCUGGGGGACCCUGUCUUCCUGCCGUGGUUCUACGUCUUUACACACACUCUGUAAUAAAGUCUUAUGGAAUGUAUGCCGCGUCUAACGCAAUACAAUACAACUUUCAGCAACGGAUCUCUUGGCUCUCGCAUCGAUGAAGAACGCAGCGAAAUGCGAUAAGUAAUGUGAAUUGCAGAAUUCAGUGAAUCAUCGAAUCUUUGAACGCACCUUGCGCCCCUUGGCUAUUCCGAGGGGCAUGCCUGUUUGAGUAUCAUGAACACCUCAACUCUCAUGGUUYGCCAUGAUGAGCUUGGACUCUGGGGGUUUUGCUGGCCUGYGGUCGGCUCCCCUCAAAUGAAUCAGCCUCCCAGUGUUUGGUGGCAUCACGGGUGUGAUAAAUAUCUACGCUCGCGGUYGUCUGCCAGGUAACCUUUGGUGACAAAGGUUYGCUGGAGCUCACAGAUGUCUCUCCUCGGCGAGGACAGCUUUUUUGAACGUUCGAUCUCAAAUCAGGUAGGACUACCCGCUGAACUUAAGCAUAUCAAUAAGCGGAGGAAAAGAAACUAACAAGGAUUCCCCUAGUAACUGCGAGUGAAGCGGGAAGAGCUCAAAUUUAAAAUCUGGCGUGCCUCUGGUCGUCCGAGUGWGUCWRGAGUCCG
rnacentral:rRNA from 1 species